GGGCCACCAGACCCCAGGUAGAACUCUGCCCACAUUCCUCCUUCCAAGCUGCACCUAAGCCCAGGCCUAGGCCUCUGAUGGAGUUUCACCAAGCAACGAGCAUGGAAAGGAGUGCAACUAGCUUGCAAACCUUUAUGAUGUGGAUGAGGCAUGAUUCGGAAAACAAACACAGGAAGACAACCUCUCAUGGGAAAGGCCAUCCUUAGCCUGAUGUCCAAGACAAUAGAGAUUC
rnacentral:lncRNA from 1 species